rnacentral:tRNA from 1 species
AGGGUCAUAGCUCAUUCGGUGAGAGUGCUGUGUUGAUAACGCAGAGGUGGAUGGUUCGAACCCAUCUGGCCCUU